CACCCGGUGGUCAAGCGGUAAGACGCUGCUGGCAAUGACUGCCUUGCAGAAUCCCCGGUUCAAUCCCGGGCCGGGCCG